CCUACGGGUGGCAGCAGUGGGGAAUAUUGGACAAUGGGCGAAAGCCUGAUCCAGCCAUGCCGCGUGUGUGAAGAAGGCCUUCGGGUUGUAAAGCACUUUCAGUGGGGAAGAAAGCCUUGGGGCUAAUACCCUCGAGGAAGGACAUCACCCACAGAAGAAGCACCGGCUAACUCCGUGCCAGCAGCCGCGGUAAUACGGAGGGUGCGAGCGUUAAUCGGAAUUACUGGGCGUAAAGCGCGCGUAGGCGGUCUGAUAAGCCGGUUGUGAAAGCCCCGGGCUCAACCUGGGAACGGCAUCCGGAACUGUCAGGCUAGAGUGCAGGAGAGGAAGGUAGAAUUCCCGGUGUAGCGGUGAAAUGCGUAGAGAUCGGGAGGAAUACCAGUGGCGAAGGCGGCCUUCUGGACUGACACUGACGCUGAGGUGCGAAAGCGUGGGUAGCAAACAGGAUUAGAUACCCGUGUAGU
rnacentral:rRNA from 1 species